UUCUGUGAAGAGAGAAUAUCUUAAGGCCUUAGUGCUUACAGAGAGAGUAGAUGCUGAAGACCUUGAAAGGAUUUCAAGAACAAGCCAGUUUGGAUU